rnacentral:rRNA from 1 species
GCGAACGGGUGAGUAACACGUAGGUGAUCUACCCUGAAGUUGGGGAUAGCCUGUGGAAACACAGGGUAAUACCGAAUGUGGUCGGGCUCUUAUGAGAGCCUGAGCAAAGGGGCUUCGGCCUCGCUUUGGGAUGAGCCUGCGGCGCAUUAGUUAGUUGGCGGGGUAACGGCCCACCAAGGCAACGAUGCGUAGCCGGCCUGAGAGGGUGAUCGGCCACACUGGGACUGAGAUACGGCCCAGACUCCUACGGGAGGCAGCAGCUAAGAAUCUUCCGCAAUGGGCGAAAGCCUGACGGAGCGACGCCGCGUGGAGGACGAAGGCCGAGAGGUUGUAAACUCCUUUUCUGCGUGAGGAAUAAUCACCGGAGGGAAUGCCGGUGAGAUGACGGUAGCGCAGGAAUAAGCCCCGGCCAAUUACGUGCCAGCAGCCGCGGUAAUACGUAUGGGGCGAGCGUUGUUCGGAAUCAUUGGGCGUAAAGGGCGCGCAGGCGGCUGUGCAAGCCUGGUGUGAAAGACCACAGCUUAACUGUGGGAGCGCGCUGGGAAC